rnacentral:rRNA from 1 species
GACGAACGCUGGCGGCGUGCCUAAUACAUGCAAGUAGAACGCACAGUUUAUACCGUAGCUUGCUACACCAUAGACUGUGAGUUGCGAACGGGUGAGUAACGCGUAGGUAACCUGCCUGGUAGCGGGGGAUAACUAUUGGAAACGAUAGCUAAUACCGCAUAAUAUUAAUUAUUGCAUGAUAAUUAAUUGAAAGGUGCAAUUGCACCACUACCAGAUGGACCUGCGUUGUAUUAGCUAGUAGGUGAGGUAACGGCUCACCUAGGCGACGAUACAUAGCCGACCUGAGAGGGUGAUCGGCCACACUGGGACUGAGACACGGCCCAGACUCCUACGGGAGGCAGCAGUAGGGAAUCUUCGGCAAUGGACGAAAGUCUGACCGAGCAACGCCGCGUGAGUGAAGAAGGUUUUCGGAUCGUAAAGCUCUGUUGUAAGAGAAGAACGGGGGUGAGAGUGGAAAGUUCACACUGUGACGGUAUCUUACCAGAAAGGGACGGCUAACUACGUG